rnacentral:rRNA from 1 species
AUUGAACGCUGGCGGCAGGCCUAACACAUGCAAGUCGAGCGGAUGAAGGGAGCUUGCUCCUGGAUUCAGCGGCGGACGGGUGAGUAAUGCCUAGGAAUCUGCCUGGUAGUGGGGGAUAACGUCCGGAAACGGGCGCUAAUACCGCAUACGUCCUGAGGGAGAAAGUGGGGGAUCUUCGGACCUCACGCUAUCAGAUGAGCCUAGGUCGGAUUAGCUAGUUGGUGGGGUAAAGGCCUACCAAGGCGACGAUCCGUAACUGGUCUGAGAGGAUGAUCAGUCACACUGGAACUGAGACGCGGUCCAGACUCCUACGGGAGGCAGCAGUGGGGAAUAUUGGACAAUGGGCGAAAGCCUGAUCCAGCCAUGCCGCGUGUGUGAAAAAGGUCUUCGGAUUGUAAAGCACUUUAAGUUGGGAGGAAGGGCAGUAAGUUAAUACCUUGCUGUUUUGACGUUACCAACAGAAUAAGCACCGGCUAACUUCGUG